rnacentral:rRNA from 1 species
GGGUCAUUAGGUUGGUCGUGCCACCGGUACGUACUGGUCUCACUGAUUCCUCCCUCCUGAAGAACCGUAAUGCCAUUAAUUUGGUGUUGCGGGGAAACAGGACUGUUACUUUGAAAAAAUUAGAGUGUUUAAAGCAAGCUAACGCUCGAAUACAUUAGCAUGGAAUAAUGAAAUAGGACGAUCGAUCCUAUUUUGUUGGUUUCUAGGGUUGACGUA